rnacentral:lncRNA from 1 species
AAAGAGGAGCCUGCUGGUCUGCUGGCGGGCAGGCGGCGCUGGGCCGGAGCCUCUCCCUCCGGUGCGCACAGCGCACCCUCUCCUCCCCCGGCCGCCCGUCGCAGCGCGGAGAGGGCGUGUCGGCACCCUGCCUGGCGAGCGCCCACCCCUACAAUGGCUGCGAGCGCGCGGGACGGAGGGUGCACCGCCGCUCCCCGGGGACUUGCACGGGUGGCGCGCCUAGCCCAGAGCCCGCUUGUAGUGAGCGCUCAGUAGGGCGGGAAAGCUGCUGCCGCUACUGCGGCCUUCUGAGAAGACGCCCAUUCUCUGAUGUCAGGACUGCAUCGCCGAGUCCUGAUUGCAAAUAGCGAAAUAUAUAAUUAAGGAGAGUUCGGGGGCGUAUCCUGCAAUGGGAUGCCGAGUUCGAUAAAGUUGCAGGAUGCUGGGAAAGUGGAUUGAUUUGCUGUUGCUAAAUGAAUGGAAACAGCGUUAGAGCUUCUGUCCACGAUCCAUCAGUCUAUCGAGAUUGCUGAUUGCCUAUGACUUGGACGGUUGAUGGUUUUCAGGCCCACUGAGAGCAGCCAGCGUUGGUAUAACCGCAGGGAGCCCUCCUGGGAGGUUGAACCUGCAGAGCGCAAAUGUGCCCAGGUUGAUUUGGGGCCUAGUGGUCCAUUUUCACAGCUCCACUGCCUAUCUGCAUAACCAGGAGCCCUCAUUCAGAUGAACGCCAAAUGGGCCAGAGGGAGGAGAAUCAAAUGAGCAACUUUUAAAAGAUAUUAAGACAUAGGCACCUAACUCCGGACAGUUCCUUUAACCCUUGAGCUAACCAUUUGAAGCACAAAACAUAACAAAAGAAAAGACUGGGGGGAGUGGGGCCAAAAGAAACCAAGUGCAAAAUUCUGUACACUUGUGUCAGAUUCACUCCGUAAUGGGAAAAGGUCUGGCUUUGAAAACUUUAUGGAUCAAAGGGAUGCAUGGAGUUACACAGCACAGCUGCAGAAGAUAAUGUUCCCCUGGAUCACUCUGCCCAACUCUUAACUGCAACCCACCUUCCCCAUCCGUCUCCCCGAAAUCACCCGGAAGGGUGUUACCUUCAGGAAGUAACUGAUCUCUUGAUCACCCCUGCUGGAUCCUGUCCCCAAGGGCGUUCGAAUGCAUCCGACUCAUCUUCACCUUGCCAAUAACGGGUGCUUGACACAUCGUUUGCUGCCAAUCAUUAUUGUGAUUUUAAUACUAUUGGUAUUCUAACUAUCAAGAUGACUGCUUGUAGAGCCAGAUUGCCUGGAUUCAAACUCCAGUUCACAACCUACUAACUGUAUGCCUUUAGGUAAACUCAGAUGCCUCUGAUGGAUUCGAAAUAACCAGAUAUAUUUCUGAAUUGCUUCAUAUGGAGAUUGGAAAGUCUAAGAGCAUGGUGCCUGCAUCUGGUGAAGGCCUUCAUGUUGUG